UACUUACAAUCAGCAUAAAUCAAAGUGGAAGCAAGAUUUCUAUGAUUUUGGGAUAGUGAUCAAGAGUCUUCUUGGACCUUAUGAUAACUUUCCUGAGGCGUUAGAUUUUGUCGCCAGAUUUGACGGAUCGCACAGGAAUACAAAAUUGAUGCAAGCA